rnacentral:piRNA from 1 species
UCNCCAGGGCCUUGGCUACUCUCGCAAUC